rnacentral:pre_miRNA from 1 species
CAACUACUCACUCUGUCCCAAAUUUCUUGUCUUAGAUUUGUCUAGAUACGGAUGUAUCUAAUACUAAAAUGUGACUUGAUACAUCCGUAUCUAGACAAAUCUAAGACAAGAAUUUUGGGACGGAGGGAGUACUUU